GCCUAAAGUCUAAUAAUCUUAGACGUAGUUGGUGCUGCAUGCCUGCAUCAGUGUAGGGAAAAGGAUUACCUGCAAUCACCGUGUUAAUGUAAUAGUCAUUAUCAUCCACCCGAUCAAUAAUAAAUGGUUGAAAUUAAAAAUGUGUUUAAAUUACAAUGAUCAAUGAGAUUCGUCAGAUUGCUUUUAAAAAGCAGAGAUUAUUUACUAUGUGUAACUGCAUGCAGCAGACAAUCUGAAUCCUCAAUGUAGCACCCCAUAUAUUGCCACCUAUGAAGCCCCGAUACGUGACACGAUACCGAUACGAGAAAAUUUUCAAAAUUCUCGAUACGAUACGGCCGCGAUACGUUAUUUAAAAAUUAAAUAUAUAUAAAUGCACAAUAUACAAACAUAACUAAAAUCGAUAAUAAUAAAAAAUUAACAUUCAAAUUACUCAAAUUGAGCAAACAAUGAACAAUUACAUAUCUUAAGUUAAGUACUACCUAAUUUGCUUAUAAAAAAAUACGUACUACCCAAAGACACACUUGUAACAUCAUACUCUAACAUUCGAUAUUUAAGAGAAAACAUGAAUUGUAUCCGUCUCAUUUCCUACGUUUUUACCAUCAAAGAGCAUUAAUUGUCCGAUACUUUUCCGAUACGCGUAUCGGAGAAGUAUCCGACACGUACCGGUUAUAUUGUUUUUUAAAAAAUAAUAUUAAUUUCCGAUACUUUUCCGAUACGUGUAUCGGAGAGUAUCAGACGAGUAUCGGUAUCAAGUAUGUAUCGGACACGAUACUUCGUCAUCUUUAGAAUAUUGUGGCUUCACAGAUUGCCACAUGCAUAUAUAUAUAUAUAUAUAUAUAUAUAUAUAUAUAUAUAUAUANNNNNNNNNNNNNNNNNNGGAAGAAAAAGAAAGUCGUUCACUCAAUCUAAAAUUUAUACUAUAGACAUGCUUUUUGGUUUCUCACAUGUUCUUUCCACAAAAAGUAAUAGUAUUAAUUAGACACUCUUCCAUACUACCUUCGGUCAUUUUUAUAAGAAACGAUUGACUUUUUAAAUUUAUUGAAUAACUAAUAUAUCUAGUUCAUAAUAUAAAUUAGGUACGUUAAAUAUUGAAAGACUAAGAUGUGAAUUUUUUUUUUUUUUUUUAUAAAAAGGACCAGAUGUAAUAUUAAUUAUGAGCACAUUUUUAGUGAGCUCAAACUCAAAAUUUUGAUAUUCAAGACACAAAUAUCAAAAUAUGAGUCUGUUCAGAUCUGAGAUCUUGAUGGUAUGACUGUUCUGGGUCUUUGACUCUGAACUAUUUGUGGCUAAAUCCCACUAAUAGAAGGUGUUACUUACACACGGUGUCACAAUCAAGUCGGUAGGUGUCGAAGAUGAGAGAUAUUUAGAAUUAGACGUGACGUGACAUACCUAAUCUAGACCAUAAAGUAGACUUAUAUAGGUGGAUAAUUAGAGUUUUAGAGAGCUUAGUACAUAUACAUCCAUAUCGCUCAACUUGGUGGUUUAAAUUGACUCUACUUAAUUAAUUUUUUUUAUAUUACGUCACACUUUCUAAUUAUUUAAACAACUCAAUUACAUUUCUUAAGUAUCCAUAUUAAAAACUUUAAAACGAGUCUCACUAAUCUCACACUAUAGAGUCCAAAUUUAUGUUUUUAAUUCUAAAAGGUGAGAUAUAUCUUGGUUUCGAAACGGUAGAAUUACAAAGUGGAUAAAACAACUUAUGCAAAAUUGAUACGGAGGUCUACGUGUUCCAUCGAACAUUAAUUGUAUAUAUUUUAUGGCAUAUCCACCGUAUGAUCACUCAGUUAAAUAUGAAUUGGAUGACUUUUAAGUGAUCCAAUUCAAUUAACAAAUGAGUCGUGACCUAGUUGAAAACAAAAAACCAUUCCCUUAUUAACCAAUACAUAAAUGCUGUAUUGUAAGGUAAGAUAGUUGAUUAUACUAUUAAAUCAAAUCCGUCCUUGUACCAACAAAUUUAAUUAGAACCAUUCGGUUGGUAAAACUUGACAUAUUUCACAUUAAGUAUUGUACUACAUGCAUCAAAAGUCCAAGAAACAACCAUACUUUGUGUUUACAAUGUAACAGUGACUACUACUACUAUUGAUGAGAUGAAGGCAUGAAAUGCUUAAUAUUAAAAAUCAAUCAAUCAACCAAUAGGGAAAGAAAUAUCCCGAAAUUAAUGCGUUAAAGAUGUUGAAAGGGCAUGGAAUGGGGGGAUUUGGUGUGUCCCACAGUUGGUGACCAAGACAGAUACGAAAGUGAGAAAAAAACCAACCCACCGACCUACAUAGUAUGGCCGCCUUCCACUAUCUUAAUUUUCAACAUUAUUUAUUAUUCUUCGGUGUCAACUCUUUGGUUUUUAGAGCAUCCACAAUGGAGCUAUUCAUCUUUGAGUAUUUAAUUGGACCCUACGUGUACAUCAAUUAUUUAUAAUUUUUUAUUAAUACUCCCUCCGGUCCUUUUUAUAAGGAACACUUAGGGCAAAAAAUUUGGUCCUUUUUAUAAGAAACUUUGACCAAUUUUCAAAUGUUUUAAAUGUUCAAUUUCACUUAUGCCCUUAUUUAUUAUGAGAGAGAAUUUAAAAAUAAAUAAGUUAGUUGAAUAAAGAAUAAUUAAAUAAGGGUAUACAUGGAAUAAAUUAAAAUUUAUAAGAGUAUUAAAUGAAAAUAACUAUGUUAAAUGUACUUCAUUGGUCUGUGUGAUUUUUUCAAAGUGUUUCUUAUAAUAAGGACCGGAGGGAGUAGUACUUAAUAGGUACUCAAUCCCUCCAACCCAACACAUUUUAAAAAGUUUUAAAUAGGUCUCACUAAUAACACAUUUCUCCAAUAACUUUAUAUCAUUAUAAAUGGGUCCCACAAAAAUUAUAUAGGUACCACUUCUUAUUGUAGAAUUAGUACCUAAUAAGUACUCAUUUAUGUUUUGCUCCAAUGGUGAUACCUAUUAGGUACUAGUACUUAAAAAAUAAGUACUCAUCAUUGGAGAUGAUCUUAGAAGAAUGAGACCGAUAAUUGAAAUUUGUUCAAAAGUUAAGUGAAUUUGACUAUAAUUAUUAUUUUCAUGUAUAUUAUUAAUUACUUUAUUUUUGUAAUUGAUAUAUUAUUAAUUACUUAUUCCAAUCAAUUGGUUAUUUUUAAAGUUUUUUUUCAAUUUCGUAAAUCAAGUAUUCUUUGGCUAUGCCCACUCAAAUGAGUGAAUUUUUUUUGGCAAGUUUUAACAAUGCUGUAUGCUUAAGUUAGAAUUGAAUUCAAAACUUUAGUUAAACUAGAAGGGAUUCAUGUUACUGAUCGUUAGUUGAUUCAAUGGUAAUUGACGUUAGACUUGGGGAGGACCAUAAUUCGAUCUUCCGCAACUACAAUGAGAGAGAGCUUAAACCACUUGAUGUAAGAGCUGACUCCGAACUAGAUUAGACGGUUCAGUGUGUCGAAUACUAAUGAUGAAAAAAAAAUAAAAUAAAAAAGAUUUAUAUUAUCUCAUCUAAACUCUAUUAGAUAUUUUCAAAAUUAUUUUAUUACCAAAUUCAACGUUUCGACAUUAAUUUAUCAAUAUUAUUCUAUGCCUUUAACGUAGGAAUUAAGGGAACAAUAUCACAGUACUAGAUUACAAUUUUGUAUACAAUUAUUUGGUAUUAAUAAAUGUUGACAUACUGUUUCUAGUCUUGUGAAUAUUCAUUAUUUUUUGAAGAUGCAGUCUUGGAGAUAAGAAGAUACUCAAACGAGAGUCCCAUCCCCUUACUGCCAAACUUUGGAAUUAUGACAACUAGGCUCCAUAAUUUUGGUAUUUUAUAUUUAAAAAAAUAUUAAGUGGAAUUUUAAUUGUUAAAAUAAGACUUGCCUAAANNNNNNNNNNNNNNNNNNNNNNNNNNNNNNNNNNNNNNNNNNNNNNNNNNNNNNNNNNNNNNNNNNNNNNNUAAUACAAGGACGCUCGACAAACAUGUUCGACCCACCAACGGUCACAAUACCAACGCGUAUUGUAACGGCCGUUACCGGAAUGAUGAGCAUUAACUGCUCAUCAUGGCUCUCCAGCCGUUUUUCGGCAGUCACUUGAUGGUCAUUAAAUGCCAUCAAGGGCCUUGGCCCUGAGCUAUAUAUACAUAACUGAUUGCCAUUCACAAGGUACAUAUAAUUUAACACAUAAAACCUUCACUCCACACUUAACUGACUUGAGCGUUGGAGUGUCUGCAGCCAUACAACCCCCUCUGCUUCAACAGAGGCUUUCAAGAGCUAAAUACCAGCGCGGUUGCACGUUCUGAUCAAGUAUGAUCAAGACUAUUUAUAAAUUUCUAAGUCAUGUUUGAAUCAUUUUUAAAUCAAUUGCAAGAUUCAAAGAUACUAAUAAAUACUAAGUAUUUUACCCUCCUUGAGUCAAAAAAAUAGUCAAAAAAAGAAAUGAAAAAAAUACUCCAUCCCUCCCAAAUUAUAAGGGAAAAAAAAAUAAAAAUCACAUUUAUUAAGAAAACUGUCAAAAACAAUUUAAUUGUCAAUCAUUUUAGGUGUGGUCUAGUGGUGAGAGGUUUGGGUAGCAUUAAGUGCAGGAGGUCUUAGGUUCGAUCCUCUCUAGCUCUAUUGUAACAAAAAAAAUGAUAGUUUUUUUUUUUAAAAAAAAAUAUUUAUUAAGAAAAAGUAAAAUAUUUGUGUUAUAGACCGACCCAAAGUUCAUGGUUGUUUAUCGUACCUGGAUCAGGAAAUGCGCGUCUUCUGACUCAAACAGAUCAAGUCAUGGCUUUUUGGUCCGUCCUCGACCUCCUAGUUGUUUGGGCCGUGCUCGAUGUUGGGUCAACCUUAAGCCUAGUCCAAUACGGUUGCCACAUCGAUCCUGUUCCGUAAACACGACGUUGAUAGACAUUGUCCCAUAAUUAUUUGACUCCAAUGCU
rnacentral:lncRNA from 1 species